AGCGCAGGCGGUUUGAUAAGUCUGAAGUAAAAGGCUGUGGCUUAACCAUAGUAUGCUUUGGAAACUGUCAAACUUGAGUGCAGAAGGGGAGAGUGGAAUUCCAUGUGUAGCGGUGAAAUGCGUAGAUAUAUGGGGGAACACCGGUGGCGAAAGCGGCUCUCUGGUCUGUAACUGACGCUGAGGCUCGAAAGCGUGGGGAGCAAACA
rnacentral:rRNA from 1 species